GUGCCCGCACAAGCAGCGGAGCGUGUGGUUUAAUUCGAUGCUACGCGAAAAACCUUACCUGGGUUUGACAUAUAGGUGGUAGUGAACUGAAAAGGGAACGACCCUUCGGGGAGCCUAUACAGGUGCUGCAUGGCUGUCGUCAGCUCGUGUCGUGAGAUGUCCGGUUAAGUCCGGUAACGAGCGCAACCCCUGCUGUAUGUUACAUGUGUCAUACGGGACUGCCGGUAACAAACCGGAGGAAGGUGGGGAUGAUGUCAAGUCAGCAUGGCCUUUAUAUCCAGGGCUACACACACGCUACAAUGGUUGGAACAAUGGGUUUGCAAGACCGCGAGGUGGAGCCAAUCCCCAAAUCCAGCCUCAGUUCAGAUUGCAGGCUGCAACUCGCCUGCAUGAAGUCGGAGUUGCUAGUAACCGCGCGUCAGCAUUAGUGCGGUGAAUACGUUCCCGGGCGUU
rnacentral:rRNA from 1 species